UUCCUUCUUCAUCUUAUGAGCUUUUCUCCCCUGGUUCCCCUCCUGUCACUGUUUGCUCCUUCUUUAUCUCUUUUGCUGGUUCCUCUUUCGGUCCUUCUUCCUCGAAUCUCAUCUUUGGCUCUUAGAGAAAUUCCUCUCUGCUUGUUCCUUAAAAUAUCACAUACAACAUGGUUUAAAAGCAUGAAUAAGAAUCUAGAGUUAGACUGUCCAAAUUCUGGUUCUACUACUUAUCAACUCUGAACAAUUGAGAAAGUUACUAAUUUCUCAUUCUUUCCAUUUCACCCUCUGUAAAAUAGGGGCAGAUGUCCCUUAUAGCUUUAAUGUGAGGAUUAAAUAAGAUACUGCGCAUGAGUCAUUCAGCAAGUGGUAACACAUAGAAAGAAUAAAAUAAGGAUCUAUCAUUGUCAACAGUGCCAUCAACAUCAGCAGAAGCAUCAGCAUUAUCAUCACCACUUUCUUCUCUGGAAUAUGGCCACAACCUAUAGCUCUAGGCUUGGCCACCAUCCUGCCACUUUCCCAUCUGUCAGCAGAAGCUCACUGGGGAUUUCCACUGAUAUCUUCAAAUCCACAUACCUGAUUUCCAAUCUCAUUCCUCCCUUCAGUAAUUCUACUUGGAUCUGAAUUCCUAGAUGCUUGGGCUCAAGGAUAACUGGAACCUAGUAAUAGUUGAGAACUUGGUUCUAGGAGUAUCUGCCUAAAUAGGAUUAUGGAUAGGAAGUGAGAGAGUGCAGACUUCUUGAGGGAGGAUUUAAUAACCACAGGCAAUGUGGAUGGAUAGACAGGGCAGAAAUGACAUUGUAAGCAGUUUGACUGAAGAGGAUUUUAUUUCUCUAUCUGAGGUUCUUCCCAAUGAAUUAUUAUCUGAAUUUAGGCCACAAAGCAAGGCACAGUGCAGACUAACAAUCAGGUUUCUCACAAGUAAUUCUCUUCUUUCUGUGAUUUAGGGUGGUUUGCCUCAUUUGUAGCCACAGUCCUGGGGGUAAUUGUUGAGAUAUUUCUAAUUCCCAUUUUAUGAUGUUGGCAAGCCUUCUUGGCCCCUCACAUUAGGCACGAAGCUGAGUACCAGCUCUGACCCAUCUAGAACACUAAUACCCUAACCUCUUUUUAUUGAUUUAUUUUUGUCUUUUCUUAUUUACUUUGAUUGAUUAGUUAAAAUGUUGUAAAAUUAUAAAUUUGAAUGCUUUUCAUAUAUCUGUGAUUAUAUGUCUGUACAUAUAGAAAACUGUUAAUCCACACUGAUCAACUUAACCCCAAUCCAACAACAAAUGGCCCAUUCUAUUUUAUUCUUGUCUGUGUUUAAAACUCUCUUCUCCAACAGUGAGUUAUCUGGCUUCUAUUAUUCUUAACAUGUUUUCAUUUUUUUUUCAGUCAAGCAAGACAAAUAACUUUAUUUUUAUGAGAAAACAUUUUAUUUUUAAGUGAAGUAAUAUGAAUUUAUAACAUUAAAUAGAAGUAUAAUAUUGUACACAUGAAACAACAUAUUUUCUUACUCAUCAAUUCGUCUGUUGCUGCCAGUCUCCUGUUGCCAUGGACCUCUUCCUCUCCAUGAGGACGUCCUUUCCACUGCCAGAGCUUCCACAUCCUGUUCUUGGUCUCUGCUGCCUCCAAUUCAUUUGAAUCUUCAGCAUAUACUCACCUUAUUCUCCCAAUAUGGGCAAACUCUCCUCAGCAUGCAUAGACUCUGACCCUUUCCUUGUUGUCUGUUCCUCCCAUGCUCCUUACUAUGCAUGGUCUCUAAUACCACAAACCAGGCAUCUAUCCUUAGGGACACAUGCAAGCUCUGAUACUCUGCACUAGACCACCUUUCUGGGUGGUGGUUCAACCCACGCAGGCUCUGACACUCCAUGCAUCCUCCUCACUGUGCUUGAGCUCCAACAUCACAUACCAAGCUACCCACUUGCAUGCAUGGACAUCCUCUUUACUCACUUGGAUUCCAGCUCCCGGGUCUGGGUUCCCUCCCAUACUUAAGUCCUUUUCAGCCUCUUUGGGCUUGAAUAGCCUAUACAAACCCACUACACAAACUAACCUGCUUAGUUUCUGACCUCCUAAACAGACCAUUCCCAAAUGUAGAAGCCAUCCUCGCCUGGCUCAAGUUCCAGAUUCCUAUGCAGGUUCAGCCACCUCCCAUGACACCCUCUUUACCCUCUUGGGAUUCAACAGCCAUAAUUAGAUACACCCCUCAUUCUGCUUGGGCACACUCCCUGACCCUGGGUCACCAUGGCAACCCCUUGUUCACCAAGCCUGUUCACCUUACCUGAAGGGUUCCCAACUCAUAGUUAUAGGAGUGAACUGUUAAUGAAGGGAAGGAAAGGGAAAGAGGAAAGGAGAAGGAAGGGGAAGGAACCUUAGCCCUUCAGAUGACUAUGGAAUUCUGAUCCACUGUUGAGCUGUUGAGCUUUAGCUCUUACUUGCUGUCAUGGCUUUGAGUCUCUUCCUUGAUUCUUAUAGUUGGAGAAGGAAGUACAAUAUUAAGCCUGUAUUAUUUAAAUAAUAGCUGUGAUUUAUCUAACAUAUUUUUGUGUGUUUUGACUAGAAGCAAAGUGCCCUGGUCUCUUGCAUUAAACAUAACAUUGUAAAUCAUAUACCCCAAUAAAUUUUUAAAUAAUAAAAUAAAAUAGCAAUCCCACCCCCAAAGCCCUAAUCCCCUUCACUACAUACUACUUAGUUACCUUCUGACAUACUAUUUUUAACUUCUUUGUUUAUCCUGUCUCUCACCACAACUAAAAUAAAAGCAUACUGACAAGAUUUCUUAAAAAGAUAAUAAAUUUGAGUGGAAAUAAAAAGAAUGGGUGAGGAGUUAAGAGGAUAAAACAGGGAAGGAAGACCAUCAGGCAAAUGUGAGGGUGGAAAGUAGAAGUUGGGAUCAUUAUCGUUGAAAUCGGGAGUGAAGGAGAGAGCACAGUUCAGGAUGGAGCUGGUGAGGUAGGAAGGACCAAGCCACCAAAAAACCUAAAAGCAAAGAGAGACUAGAUCUUAUUUUUUGAACACUUUAAAAGCCAUGGGAUGACUCUAGCAGUGAGGUUUUGCUUCAUUCUACCAGAUAACUAGGCCAAUGAAAUCUGGUUAAAGCAGUGGCAAAUGCCUAAGGAAAAUGCAGCAGAUAUUUUUUUUUGUGCCAGGUACUCAGAUUUUUGUCUUCAAUUCUCCCACCUGUUCCUGAUUCUGCCUUGUUUCUGGAACUCAGCAGAUUUAUGACUUUUCAAUAUCUUCUUAAAUGAACUCUCAGGGCUGAUUUGACUGUCUGCCCCAGUGUUGUGUCUGUGACCUCAGACAAAAUGUGUUUCCCAAACUCACAUUCCCACUUUAACUUUGGGCUCCAACCAAGUCCUGUUAUGCUUAGAUGAAAUUUCACUCAACAAAUUUCAGCUGGCAAUACGGCCCUAUGAAACAAAUGGCAUUUUAUGUCAAAUCAAGAAGUUUUUGUCAUCAUUAAUAAAUGCUUUUAGUAUCAUAUGAGGUAUUAUGGCGUUUACACUGUGUUCAUUUGGGUUUUUAUGCUAACUGGAACUUCAAGUCAUUGAUGGUACCUUUCCAAAAAUCCCUUCCAUCUUCUAUUUUUUUUCCAAUCAGAAAGUCUUAAAACAGAACUCAUAGGGAAGUGUGGAUUGUGCAUAUACACUGAAUCUCAUCUGAAGACAAUUUUAAUUAACAAGCAUCUAUAAAUAGUCAGCAAUGGCUAAAAUGCUUGCAGACUGUGCCAUGGGGCAUGAAUACAAUUAAUUACAGAAGUGGGUUUUUUUUUUUAAGAGGUAUGAAUUGGAGAAUAGAGUAAUGACCAAAUGUGUAGCACCUCAACUGUGUCCAUAUGUUGAGAAAUUCAGAGAAAGUUUUCAAAGUGAGAUUGAACACUCUUGAAGUGGCUUGUAAAAACUUGAAGAAUCAACAGUAGACUGAUCUCCCUUCCACAAAGGAGGAAAGCACAGUGGAAACAAUACCAGCUGUGACAAUUUCAUUUUCUGAUCCUGGUUUCUAGCUGUGUUAUUAGAAGUAAGUUACUUAAUUGCUUCAAGUUAGGAAACAUGGAUGUAAAAUGUGGAAGAAUAUUCUAAGUGAUUAGCAAAAGUGCCAUGGGUAUGCUCCCAAUGAAUAGUAGCUUUAUCUCCUUUGUGUGGGCCACAACUAAAAACUCACUUGAUCAUACUUAAAAGUUUAAAUCAAUUAUUGAAGCUGUCCUUUGGGAAAGGAUAAACACUAACUUUGCCUGAUUAAUUCCAUAAAAGGAGACAAAUUCCUUUAGGUACCAGUGGCUUUCCCAGUUUUUGAAAAAUCUUUCAGCCAAUAUAUAUAGAUUAAGCAACAGAAUAUAUAUAUUAAGCAAUAGGUAUGUUAAGCAACAGAAAGCUUUACUUCUCCAAACUAUAUGCCUCCCUGCCCCCAGUCAAGGCUCAUAGGAGCUGAAAUACAGUCCUGAAAUUAGAAAAUGGGAUGUAACUAUGUAACUGCUCCUAUCCUUCCAAUUGGCUACAGCACAAGCCACAGGGUGUGCCGUUUCUUCUUCCAAGUGUACAACUUUCUCCUUAAAUAACAUUCAUGAGUUUUUUUUAGAGCAGGAUCUAAUGAUGUACUUUCUAAUUCAGUAUCAUUUAAAUGUUAGUUGUUUUGGACUAUAAAAAUAACAUUCACUAAUUUUAGAAAAUUUCAAGAACAUAGAAUAUCCUCCAUAAGGAUGUAAUUAACUAAAAUCCGACCAGACAGAAAGCUUUUUCCUGCAAAAAUAUUCAUUGAAUGUCUAGUCUAUAUCAAUGUUUUGCUAGGUACUGAGUAUCAGCCAUAAACUAGACAUUUAUGGUCAUUGCUUUUGGGGCAUUUGUUUCAGUAGGGAUAAAAAACAUGCAAAUAAACACAUUAAUUAUACAUUGUGAUAAAAGGUGUGACCAGAAUAAUAAGGUAGUGUUUUGGAAAGUAAUAGUGCAUUAGAUAUGGUUGCUAGGAUGGGUUUCUAAAGUGGCUUCUGUCUGAGUGAAAUCUGAAGAUGAGAAUGAGAUGGCCAUAAGAAGAGUUAUGGGAGUUCCGUCGUGGCUCAAUGGUUAGGGAAUCCGACUAGGAACCAUGAGGUUGCAGGUUCGGUCCCUGGCCUUGCUCAGUGGGUUAAGGAUCCGGCGUUGCCGUGAGCUGUGGCGUAGGUUGCAGACGUGGCUCAGAUCCUGUGUUUCUGUGACUCUGGAGUAGGCCAGCAGCUACAGUUCCGAUUAGACCCCUAGCCUGGGAACCUCCAUAUGCUGAGGGUGCAGCCCUAGAAAAGACAAAAAAAAAAAAAAAAAAAAAAAAAAAAAGAGUUAUGCACAGAGUUUCCUGGCCCUAUUGUAUGUUAAGAGAUGGAAAGAAGCUUGUUGGGAAAGAAAGAGGAGGUCAGAUUGAACGGAAUGUUGUACAUGGGGGGAUGUAGUAUAAAAUUAUGAUGUAGGAAAUGAACAUUUGGUACAUAUCCUUCCAGUCUUUUUUCUAUGCAUGACAUAACAUUAUGUUGAUUAUUUUCUCAUGAUAUAUUCUUUUCCUAAAAUGACUAAAGACCUAAGCCAACCCAAUAGGAGCUCCAGAAUAAAUACUGCCUGCUGGAGUUGUCCUUUGUGGGUACAGAAUAAUUUGACCUACUGUAUACUCCUAAUUUGCUCCCUCACUGAAUGUGAAAUAUACUGAGAAGAGUGUGACCUUGGAGGAGGUGACCCUGGGGUUGCUGACAACAGCAGAAUGUUAUCUGUUGAUUGCACUGAAGCAUAGAUUAGAGAAUCAGGAAUUAGAUGAGGCACUAUGUUAAGAAAGUGUGUAAUGUGAGAAAAAGAAUACAUACAUAUAUAUAUAUAUACGUGUGUGUGUGUGUGUUACUGGGUCACUUUGCCAUACAGGAGAAAUUGACAGAACAUUGUAAAUCAACUAUAAUAAAAAUUUAAAAAAGAAAGUGUGCAAUGCUAAAACUUUAGACAAACACUAGCUAAAUAACUAGAAUAGUAAUAAAUAUCCCUGAUGUGUUCAGCUUUAAGGUUUAUUUGGUAUCAGCCAAGAUGUAUCAGUUAGCUUUUGCUGCCUUAUGCACAAUCCCUAAAAUUACUGAUUUAAAACACAAUAACCAUUUAUUGUGUUCCUGAGUCUAUAGCUCUGCAACAUGAUUCUUCUGGUCUGGGGUGAGCUUGGCUGAUUUCUAUUGCUGUGCGUCUGCCCUCAGCUGGUAGGGUGGCCAGUAGCUAGAUGGUUCAGGAUAGCUUUACAUGUCUAGCAGUUAGCAAGCUAAAAGCUGGAGUGUUGGGUGACUGGGCUGCAUGUCUUUUGCCAUCCAGCAGACUAGCUUAAACUGUUCACAUAGUGAUGAUCACAGAGUGCCCAAGAGCGGUACAGGGUCAGCCACAGUGUUUACAAGCACGUUUUAAGUUCCAGCUUACAUCAUGUUUGCUAACCUCUCAUUGGCCAGAGAAGUCACAAGGCCAACCGAGACUCAAAAAGUGGAGAAACAGGAGUUUCCAUCAUGGCUCAGAGGUAAUGAUCCACAACAGAUUCCAUGAGGAUGUGGGUUCAAUUCCUGGCCUUACUCAGGGGGUUAAGAAUCCAGUGUUGCCAUGAGCUGUGGUGUAGGUUGCAGACAUGGCUCGGAUCCCAUGUGGCUAUGGCUGUGGUGUAGGCUGGCAGCUGUAGCUAUGAUUUGACCCCUAGCCUGGGAACUUCC
rnacentral:lncRNA from 1 species